UUCUCGAAAAGAGAGAAAAAAAAGGAACUAUUUCUACAACGGAGUUUAAUUUUACCUGAAUUCCUAACUUUGCAAACAAAGGAGACUCAGUUGUGCCCUCUGGCUCAAGUCAGCUCCGGUGAGUCACAGCUUCCUGGAUGCACUCUGGCUUCCAUUCCGGUUUGCAGAACUAAAGGCGUUUGUCCUGCAGUUUUCGCCAGGCGAGUUCUGGAUGUAUGGACCAGGGGAGAAUGAGGAUUCCAACAAACUCCAACGACCAAAACCUCAAGGCCCGGGGUGUGCUCAUCCGUGGCUUUUCAGUCAGCACAAGGGGAAGCAGCUGAACGCACCUCCCUGACAGAGAUCUGCAUCUCAGCCACUGUGUAUGUGGACAUCUUUGAAUCUUUUCUUUUUUUUAAUAACUAAUAACCAUGCCUCACGGGCAUCAUUCCCAGCCAGAGGUCAUCCUGUUACCGACACAGACAACAGGAAGACUAGGCAUUACCUGAAUAUACACAACUAGAGCUACGAAACUGGGAAUCGGUAUUUCAAACAAUUUCCUAAUUUUAUUUCCUGCUUGUUUUCCUUUUUCUUCUCAAUAUCAAGGAAAACACGGAUAGAGGUGACUUUGUCCUUUGUGCAGGUGGGGUGGGCGAACGUGUGGGAAGAGGCGGGAAGGGGGGGUGCUCCUCCAUAGUUGGACUCAUCCAGCUUGGUUUCAAGAGAGCAGAAUCACUCAGUUUUUGAAACAUUUCUGGAAGUGUCUUGUUAAAUGCCUGAGAUUUCCAGGUCUUUCGAUGUGUGGUUUUCCUUCCUCUUCUAACUGUGGCAGUGAAGACAGAGCCACAGAAGGGCCAAGUUCGUAGGGAGUGACGGCUUCGUGACAAAAGGCUCCGGUGAGGAGGACGCCAGACCCUGACCUGCAGACACGUCAUGCCCACUUCCCCAUGAAUCGUCCUUUCUUCUGCACUUCGCCGGUUCAUACUUGCUGAGUAAAUAGAAGCGAGUCUCUGGCAGAAACCUUGCCUACACUAUGUACUGCGCUAGGCCUUAGGAGGGCCUUCCGUUGGUGAAGCCUGUGAUCCUGUGGAAGAAUUCCAUUCUGAGGACCAUCUAUCAGUAAUUCGCCUUCUAAGUCACAGGCUGACAAGAGAGCUUCUGGAAACUCGGAGCACGGAGCCACGAGCUCCCGAACCGGCUGACUGCGAGCGCUGUGGUUUGGCACAGGAAGCUGCACUGCCCUCAGCCUCUGCUCAACGCGGAGACACACCAGCGAGCUGCACGGUCUCGGCGUGGCAUGGACCGCGCCCCCUUUCGCUCGUUUGCUCGUGUAGAGAAGGUUGCCUUUCUUCUCACAGAGUUCCAAGACCUGCGUUUGUGCACAGGGUGGCACCAGUUUCACAGUGUUGUGGGCAAGCACGUCCUUUCUGGUAGGUGGAGAUCCCUUCCCUGGGCAAGUCUGCUGCACUUCCGAUUUGCAAACCUAACGAACACUCGGCACCUUGGCCACACAUCAGAUCACACGGACAAUGAUAUUCCCACACGACGUUUACAGAGGCUCCCUUGAGAUAGCGCAUCGGGCUGGAAUUAAGUGGCUACAGGAAACAGCAAAGGUGGCCGUGCCCACGCUCUCAGGAUACGGAGGAGGGCCGGAGGAUUAGAUAGUACAUUUGUAAAACCUGACUUACAAUCGGAACAAAAACUUUCCACUUCGACCUCUGUAAACACGCAGCACCUCAAAAAUAUUAGCUGGAAACUGAAACACGUAAACCAAUCCCCUCCUUCCCUCGGCACCCCCUGGAUUCAGUGUGAGCUUUCCCCGC